GCGCCCUCACCAGCUGCAGCCUCCCCCGCGCUGUACCCGCCGCCCUCGCCCGCGCACACCCCCCACCCCCAUCCGCACCCGCACCCACACCACCACUACCAGCAGCCGCCAUUCCAGGUACUGUGCCCGCUGAUGGGCCCGGGCUCCCAUCACCACCAUCAUCACCAUCCGCACGUGGCCUAUCUCAACCACGCGCCGCCCACAGCCUCGCCGCCGCACCACCCACACACGCUACAGCAACAAGUGCUGAUGCCGCCUCAGCACCAGCCGAGCGGCGGCGGUUCGUCCACACCGGGCGGGCACACGCACCCGUAACGCGCACGCCCGGCCCCGCCCCCAC